rnacentral:tRNA from 1 species
GCAUUGGCGGUUCAGUGAUAGAAAUCUUGUCUUCCAUGUGGAAGAUUUGGGUUUGAUUCCCAGCCAAUGCA